rnacentral:lncRNA from 10 species
CUGGCUCAAGUGAUCCUCCCACCUCAGCCUCUCAAGUAGGUGGGACUAUAGGCACACCCUGCCAUGCCCGGCUCAUUUGUUAUUUUUGAGACAAGAGUCUUGCUCUGUCACCAAGGCUGGAGUGCAAUGUCACGAUCUCAGCUCACUACAACCUCCACCUCCUGGGUUCAAGUGAUUCUCCUGCCUCAGCCUCCCAAGUAACUGGGAUUGCAGGUGUGUGCCACCAUGGCUAAUUUUUUGUAUUUUUCAGUAGAGAUGGAGUUUUGCUAUGUUGGCCAGGCUGGUCUCGAACUCCUGGCUUCAAGAGAUCCACUGACUUGGCCUCCCAAAGUGCUGGGCUUAGAGGCCUGAGCCACCGCGCCCAGCCUUGUUUACUUUUUGUAGAGAAGAGGCCUCACUAUGUUGCCCAGGCUGGUCUCAAACUACUGAGCUCAAGCAAUCCUGCCUCAGCCUCCCAAAGUGCUGGAAUUAUAGGCAUGAGCCACUGCACCUGGCCUCACCACUUUCUGCAUCCUCUUCCCACCAACCAUCUAUAUGGUACCAUAGUGAUGCUUCUAAGAUGCAAAUCUGUUUAAGUCUUGAGACUCAUUAUGGAAUACAAGCCCUUAAAUUCGGUCUCAUGGUCUUAAUUUUGGGGGCUGUUUAUCCCUACAUUUCCCCACCAAACCCUGUCCAAAUAUUAAUGAUUUUCUCAAUGUACUAUAUGGCUUCACAUCUUAACUGCCUUUGCAUGAAAUGCCCUUUUGCUCCUGCCUACAUUUAAGUCCAACUCAAAGAUCACUUCAUCAGUAAACUCUUCUCUGAUCUACUGAAACAAAAUUAACCAUUCCUUCUUUUAUACCACACACAUUUUUUACAGUGUUUUCUUUUGAAGGAAUAAAACAUGUUCAGUUAGAGAUUAUGCAUAGUAACUCUAGAAACACCCUUAAUUUUUUAAAGAUGUCAUGUAUUUAAUGUUGUGGACACAAAUAAGCAUUUGUUGGCUGAUUAACUAUCUUCACAUAAUCAAUCCAGCAAUUUCAAUUUUUUUUUAAUAUCCUACACCUCACCCUCCCAAUAAGACUGUGUUUACACUGUAGUUUAUCUAUUUUUGAGACGGAGUCUCACUCUGUUGCGAGGCUGGAGUGCAGUGGCACAAUCUUGGCUCACUGCACCUCUGCCUCCCGGUUCAAGCAAUUCUCCUGCCUCAGCCUCCCCAGUAGCUGGGACUACAGGCGCCC